AUAACAAUACCAUUCGCUAUGAGUCUGGUAAUUUGAAUGAGUACAAUCUAAAUCCCUUAACGAGGAUCCAUUGGAGGGCAGGUCUGGUGCCAGCAGCCGCAGUAAUUCCAUCUCCAA
rnacentral:rRNA from 1 species